rnacentral:lncRNA from 1 species
UUUGUUGUGCAAAAUCAAAAAAUAUUAGCACGAUUCCAUGAGUUCCACACCCCUUAUAAUUGAUGUAUAACAUGUGGUGGGACAAAUCUUAGUGCCUUUCGCCUCAAUCCAUUUAAGCAAUUUUCAUCCCAAAAAACAAGAAAGAUUAUUCAAAUAUCAUCCGUCUUUAUACUUUUUGGUCCUAUUUGCUGUGGAAGAUUGGGCAUGACGUUAAUCUUCGAAAUGAUACACUAAGAUAUUUGAAAUAUAAAGUAUUCAUGAAAAUGGAAACGACGUGAGAAAUUACAGCGAAAGAACCCUUCUGUUGCGUCCUAAUUGGGUGUCGUCGUCUAUAUUGAAAAAGUUAAUGAUGUAAUUUUCCUUUUCUUUUUUGCUACUCAAUCAUGUACUUUUCUUUUCUUACAUGGAAAAGGUAGUCAUGUAUUUGAUGUAACAAAAAGUUAUCUAUUUUU